UGUGUUGGCAGUGUGACGCUGAAUAACAUCAUACAAAAAAACUUUCCAGAGGAGUAUGCUGAAAGGAAAUCAGAGCAAGACACUCUGGUCCACUUGGGCAAUGAAAUUGAGUUAAAGUUGCUUCGCUUGUGAAUCAUACUGGUCAGACUUGCUUAAUGAUUAUAGUCUCUGUAAAGCUGUGUUAUUUCUUCAUCGAUUUGAGCAAGUGAUCGUCGGCUUAUUAUUCACUGAAGAAUCUUCAGUUCUGGUUCCUUAUUAGCUACCAUGGCAGGCAAACGAGACAAUUUGUGAGGUUAAUGCAUUCGUUUGGUUAAAUAGAGAGAUGUGACAUUCAAAAUAUCGAUUUGCCUUGAAGCCCUCCAGUGAUUAUUUCCUAUAAUA